GAGGAGAAAUCCACUAUAAUAUUCUUGUUUACAAUCUCUCAUGGUCUCUCAUAUCUCACUAUACAAUGGUGAUGCUGAAUAUAAAUUUACUGGAGAAGAGGCAUUCACUGGAGCUCCUUGCGUAUUUGAAGGAGCUGUUGUAGAGGGAGAAG